rnacentral:rRNA from 1 species
CACCGCGGUUAUACGAGAGGCCCAAGUUGUUAACCCUCGGCGUAAAGAGUGGUUAGAGUACCCCUACAGACUAAGGCCGAACACCUUCAGGGCAGUUAUACGCUUUCGAAGGCAUGAAGCACAUCCACGAAAGUAGCCUUACCCCACUUGAAUCCACGAAAGCUAAGAUA